CCUACGGGAGGCAGCAGUGGGGAAUUUUCCGCAAUGGGCGAAAGCCUGACGGAGCAAUACCGCGUGAGGGAGGAAGGCUCUUGGGUUGUAAACCUCUUUUCUCAGGGAAGAUAAUGACGGUACCUGAGGAAUAAGCAUCGGCUAACUCCGUGCCAGCAGCCGCGGUAAUACGGAGGAUGCAAGCGUUAUCCGGAAUGAUUGGGCGUAAAGCGUCCGCAGGUGGUUUUGAAAGUCUGCUGUUAAAGCGUGCGGCUUAACCGCAUAAGGGCAGUGGAAACUAUGAGACUAGAGUGCGUUAGGGGCAGAGGGAAUUCCCAGUGUAGCGGUGAAAUGCGUAGAGAUUGGGAAGAACACCGGUGGCGAAGGCGCUCUGCUAUACCGUAACUGACACUGAGGGACGAAAGCUAGGGGAGCGAAUGGGAUUAGAUACCCCAGUAGUCCUAGCCGUAAACGAUGGAUACUAGGCGUUGUCUGUAUCGACCCGGACAGUGCCGUAGCUAACGCGUUAAGUAUCCCGCCUGGGGAGUACGGCAGCGACUGUGAACUACAAAGAAGUUAGACGGCGUGAGACGUGCCGAACGGACGACGACGAGGGAGUAGG
rnacentral:rRNA from 1 species